rnacentral:rRNA from 1 species
UACGUAGGGUGCGAGCGUUGUCCGGAAUUAUUGGGCGUAAAGGGCUCGUAGGCGGUUUGUCGCGUCGGCCGUGAAAUCUCCACGCUUAACGUGGAGCGUGCGGUCGAUACGGGCAGACUUGAGUUCGGUAGGGGAGACUGGAAUUCCUGGUGUAGCGGUGAAAUGCGCAGAGUAUCAGGAGGAACACCGGUGGCGAAGGCGGGAUCCUGGGCCAGUACUGAGCGCUGAGACGCGAAAGCG